CACAGGAGUCAGCCUGCUCUGAUUUGCUAGGACAGGGGUGCUCGAGUCUGGUCUCAGUGCUGACGUGGAGCUAAGAGAGAGAAAAGGUGGCUGGUUAGUCAGAAAUUGGUCAUUGGCGGCAGUUUCCAGAGUCCUUGCAAUGGCUUUAUAUGACGAUAUCAACAACCAUGUGAUGGAGUUGGUUGGCAAUGAAAUAGCUAUGACAACGGGGAAGGUUAUCAGCAGAACAGUUCAAAUCUUAGACGAACAUUUUGAUGUAGAAACACAAAGAAACAACAUAUGCCAGCUCGGUCCAGUCAGUGGUGGAGUGCCACGUGCAGGAUUUAAGUUCUGAGUUCAAGAACUACCUGGCUAUGAUUUUGAGCUGACAGCAUUAUAGGUAGCUGGGAUGUAGUGGUUUUCAAUACUGAGUAUGAGGCACCAGUGGCCACCUGCUCCAUCUAGAGAGGUAUGGGUUCACAGAGGAUGGGCAGUGGAAAAGAGAUGAACAUUAAGACACCCCAACAAAACCCGCAAUAAAAAUCAAUCUGUGCAAAGAAAUCUGAGAACUGUGCAGUUGUGCCACUUUGGUGUCAGCCUGUGCUCAGAGACAUUUGUCAGGUGAGUUCUCUGGAGAGAUAUAUGAUUAAGUAUGUCAAGGGAUAGGAUGGGCUUCUCACUAAUGCCAAUUGAGCACUUUAUCCCCAAGGCAAGUGAUUUGGUUUCAAAGGGCAGCCAAGGAGAUGAUGUCUGACCAAACGCAGACAUGUGAACAUCGUACAGCCGCCCUCUGCAGAGGGGGCAUGAAGAUGUCAGGACUUGGCUGGGCACCUACCAACUACGAACUUGGUGUGUGGGUUCAGAGAAGGUUUUUGCCAGCCCCAGAAGCAAAAGUGAAUCACAGAACCUUUCUUGCUUAUUCUGAAUAAGGCCUUUUCAGAGACUUUAUUAUACGACUUCAUUCUAAAGCAGUAGUUCUCAACCUUUAGCGAGCAUCAGAAUCACCUAGAGGGUUGACUAAAACAGACUUCUGGACCCAACCCCCAGAGCUUCUGAUUCAGUAGGCCUGAGGUGGGGCUUACAAAUUAGUAUUUCGAAGACCUUCCUAAGUGUUGCAGAUGCUGCUUGUCCGGGGAACACACUUUGAGAACUAUUGUUCUAAAAUGUUCUCUCCUUUCUUUUAAAGGAGAGACAGGAAUUCCAGAGAAACUGCUAAUUUAAGCAUAAUGUAUUGAAUAGGUCGCAGGCUUUUUUAAAAAAAUCAAAUCUUGAAGCAAGUAGAAGAUUACUUUUUCUUUUUCCCCAGAAUUCCCAAAGGAGGUCUUUAGGGCCCUCUAAAGAGGGUCCUUGGAAAAGACUAUCCCAGUCUUUUAUCCUCUUGUCUUUGAUAGCUCUUUUGCACUUCAGCUUUUCACUGAGUGCAAAAAUCCCAACUCAACUUAGAAGAGCCUGUCUCCUUUCACAUGACCACAGAAGGCUACAUGCAGAACACCAGGUGGCCAGCUAAGGCAAUCAACAUUCAGAAAAAAAGGAGAGCAAACGUUUGCAAGCGCACUUUAAGCCUGUACAUUUAAAGCUGAAGGCCUCCAAACAACUUGAUGGGGGAACUUGUGAACGAGCGGUGCUGUUAAAGACAUGCUUCCUAAAGCCAAAACGAGAGGAACAAGACCAUGGAAGAGCAGAGAUAACUUUAGUCCGUUUGGGGAUCUUAUGGCACCUGUGGUUUAUAAACAGCUUUAGUAACGAGUAUUUCAAAACAUAGUUCACAGUUUUUAAGAAGAUCUGUGCUGAUUUUAAAAACUAGAUUCUAUAUAAUUUGAAUGCUGCCUUUUUUGAAUAUGAUAUCUAUUUGGAAAAAAAAAUAUUUACACUAAAUUCUAUGGCUGAUUAGAGUAUCUUGAAAGAAAACAACCUCGAGUUGGAAAGAGGCCCCAAAGAAUGGAUUAUUCCUGGUGUGUUUGGUUCAAGUCACUGCUCACAGAGACUUGGAGUCAACUACAGACCGUGCAGGCCAAGGACCCUUCUUGGCUUCCGGGCUCUGAGUUUGUACACUCAGGAACCAAAUUCUUCAGGGUUAUUGAAUGAUUGCAAGUGGUUGUUUUUUUCCAAUUGCUGUGAAAAAAAUGUACAGUGUAUAAUAAACUGUUUUGCUAAAAUCUCAAAGAAUUCAGAAAUCAAACUUCUAGCUAUAAACAGUAUUAAUAUUGUCAUUGUAAACUGAACAGGUUCAAUAUCAUGUGCAAAGGUUUAAAAUGCUUGUUAAUACUGCCAUUGUGUAUAACAGCAGCAUGGGUUUUCAGCCUGUGUUUGUUUGCUUUUUAACCAGGGAUGAACCACGUUACAGAGGAUGUAGCUGA
rnacentral:lncRNA from 1 species